rnacentral:rRNA from 1 species
UACGUAGGGGGCAAGCGUUGUCCGGAUUCAUUGGGCGUAAAGAGCGUGUAGGCGGCCAGAUAGGUCAGCUGUGAAAACUCGGGGCUUAACCCCGAGCCUGCAGUGGAUACGGGCAGACUAGAGGUAGGUAGGGGAGAAUGGAAUUCCCGGUGUAGCGGUGAAAUGCGCAGAUAUCGGGAGGAACACCGGUGGCGAAGGCGGUUCUCUGGGCCUUACCUGACGCUGAGGAGCGAAAGCGUGGGAGCGAACAGG